AAAACGAGCCAACAUGUUGGUCCGUUUUUAAAUCUGGGAGCAGACAGCCCACAAGUGAAGCGUUCGUCCAAUCAGGUGCAGCCAUCCCAGCUGUAGGUGG